rnacentral:misc_RNA from 1 species
UUUUGUGCUUAUAGUGCUGAUGGUGGGGAUUCUCAAAUUUCAAUCUUGAAUCUUAACAAAGGAAAAGAGAAGAUGCGUGUAAGUUUCUUGGAGGAUAAGCCUCAUGUUAAAGGGGUAAUCAACAAUAUGAUCUUCAUGCCAUGGGAAGAUAUCCUGUUUGUUACUGGUGGUAGUGAUCAUGCAGUUAUCAUGUGGAGCAAUAAAGAUGGAGAAAAUUCAUGGAAACCUAAAGCAUUGCAUAGAAGUUUGCAUUCUUCUGCAGUGAUGGGA